rnacentral:rRNA from 1 species
AGGGCAAGUCUGGUGCCAGCAGCCGCGGUAAUUCCAGCUCCAAUAGCGUAUAUUAAAGUUGUUGCAGUUAAAAAGCUCGUAGUUGAAUUUCGGGGUCAGCAGGUCGGUCGUGCCAAUGGUAUGCACUGGCCUUGCUGAUUCCUCCCUCUUGAUGAGCCGUAAUGCCAUUAAUUUGGUGUUGCGGGGAAUCAGGACUGUUACUUUGAAAAAAUUAGAGUGUUUAAAGCAGGCAAGCGCUUGAAUACAUUAGCAUGGAAUAAUGAAAUAGGACGUUUGAUCCUAUUUUGUUGGUUUCUAGGAUUGACGUAAUGAUUAAUAGGGAUAGUUGGGGGCAUUAGUAUUCAAUUGUCAGAGGUGAAAUUCUUGGAUUUAUUGAAGACUAACUACUGCGAAAGCAUUUGCCAAGGAUGUUUUCAUUAACCAAGAACGAAAGUUAGGGGAUCGAAGACGAUCAGAUACCGUCGUAGUCUUAACCAUAAACUAUGCCGACUAGGGAUCGGAUGAUGUUAAUUUUUUAAUGACUCAUUCGGCGCCUUACGGGAA